GAUGAAGAACGUAGCGAAAUGCGAUACGUAGUGUGAAUUGCAGAAUUCAGUGAAUCAUCGAAUCUUUGAACGCACAUUGCACCUCUCGGUAUUCCGGGAGGUAUGCCUGUUCGAGCGUCAUUUGUACCCUCAAGCUCUGCUUGGUGUUGGGUGUUUGUUCCGCCUCUGUGUGUGAACUCGCCUCAAACAAUUGGCAGCCGGCGUACUUGUUUCGGAGCGCAGCACAUUUUGCGAUCCAGAUCAACGUACAGCGGCAUCCAAGAAGCCUUAUUUAACGCUCUUGACCUCGGAUCAGGUAGGGAUACCCGCUGAACUUAAGCAUAUCAAUAAGCGGAGGA
rnacentral:misc_RNA from 1 species